rnacentral:rRNA from 1 species
UACGUAGGGGGCAAGCGUUGUCCGGAAUGACUGGGCGUAAAGGGUGCGUAGGUGGGACGUUAAGUCUGAUGUGUAAUCCCCGGGCUCAACCUGGGGGAUGCAUUGGAAACUGGCGUUCUGGAGUGCAGGAGAGGGAAGCGGAAUUCCCGGUGGAGCGGUGAAAUGCGUAGAGAUCGGGAGGAACACCAGUGGCGAAGGCGGCUUCCUGGACUGUAACUGACGCUGAGGCACGAAAGCUGGGGGAGCAAACAGG